UUAACACAUGCAAGUCGAACGGGAAUUACUUUAUUGAAACUUCGGUCGAUUUAAUUUAAUUCUAGUGGCGGACGGGUGAGUAACGCGUGGGUAACCUGCCUUAUACAGGGGGAUAACAGUCAGAAAUGGCUGCUAAUACCGCAUAAGCGCACAGAGCUGCAUGGCUCAGUGUGAAAAACUCCGGUGGUAUAAGAUGGACCCGCGUUGGAUUAGCUUGUUGGCGGGGUAACGGCCCACCAAGGCGACGAUCCAUAGCCGGCCUGAGAGGGUGAACGGCCACAUUGGGACUGAGACACGGCCCAGACUCCUACGGGAGGCAGCAGUGGGGAAUAUUGCACAAUGGGGGAAACCCUGAUGCAGCGACGCCGCGUGAAGGAAGAAGUAUCUCGGUAUGUAAACUUCUAUCAGCAGGGAAGAUAGUGACGGCACCUGACUAAGAAGCCCCGGCUAACUACGUGCCAGCAGCCGCGGUAAUACGUAGGGGGCAAGCGUUAUCCGGAUUUACUGGGUGUAAAGGGAGCGUAGACGGUGUGGCAAGUCUGAUGUGAAAGGCAUGGGCUCAACCUGUGGACUGCAUUGGAAACUGUCAUACUUGAGUGCCGGAGGGGUAAGCGGAAUUCCUAGUGUAGCGGUGAAAUGCGUAGAUAUUAGG
rnacentral:rRNA from 1 species